AUUGAACGCUGGCGGCAGGCUUAACACAUGCAAGUCGAACGAGUGGCGUACGUGUGAGUAAUGCUUGGGACUCUCUCUUAUGGAGGGGUAUAACUACGGGAAACUGUAGCUAAUCCCGCUUACCCUAGUUUUCCCCCAAGUGGGAUUCGGUAGUUGGUGAGGUAAAGGCUCACCAAGCCGACGAUCUCUAGCUGGUCUGAGAGGAUGACCAGACACACUGGAACUGAGACACGGCCCAGACUCCUACGGGAGGCAGCAGUGGGGAAUAUUGCGCAAUGGGGGCAACCUGACGCAGCCAUGCCGCGUGAAUGAAGAAGGCCUUCGGGUUGUAAAGUUCUUUCGGUAGCGAGGCGUUAACUACAGAAGAAGCACCGGCUAACUCCGUGCCAGCAGCCGCGGUAAUAC
rnacentral:rRNA from 1 species